rnacentral:rRNA from 1 species
UACGUAGGGGGCUAGCGUUGUCCGGAUUUAUUGGGCGUAAAGAGCGUGUAGGCGGCCAGAUAGGUCUGCUGUGAAAACUCGAGGCUCAACCUCGAGAUGUCGGCGGAAACCAUUUGGCUAGAGUCCGGAAGAGGAAAGUGGAAUUCCUGGUGUAGCGGUGGAAUGCGCAGAUAUCAGGAGGAACACCGGUGGCGAAGGCGGGUCUCUGGGCCUGUCCUGACGCUCAGGCGCGAAAGCUAGGGGAGCAAACAGG